AUGGCCCCCAAGGCAGCCGAGAAGAAGCCGGUGGAGAAGACCCCGGCGGGGAAGAAGCCCAAGGCGGAGAAGAAGGUGCCGGCGUCCAAGGAGGGCGGCGGCGACAAGAAGGGCAAGAAGAAGGCCAAGAAGAGCGUGGAGACGUACAAGAUCUACAUCUUCAAGGUGCUGAAGCAGGUGCACCCGGACAUCGGCAUCUCCUCCAAGGCCAUGUCCAUCAUGAACUCCUUCAUCAACGACAUCUUCGAGAAGCUGGCCGGCGAGUCCGCCAAGCUGGCGCGCUACAACAAGAAGCCCACCAUCACGUCCCGCGAGAUCCAGACCUCCGUCCGCCUCGUCCUCCCCGGCGAGCUCGCCAAGCACGCCGUCUCUGAGGGCACCAAGGCCGUCACCAAGUUCACCUCCGCCUGA
rnacentral:rRNA from 1 species